rnacentral:rRNA from 1 species
UACGGGGGGGGCAAGCGUUGUUCGGAAUUACUGGGCGUAAAGGGCUCGUAGGCGGCCAACUAAGUCAGACGUGAAAUCCCCAGGCUCAACCUGGGAACUGCGUCUGAUACUGGAUGGCUUGAAUCCGGGAGAGGGAUGCAGAAUUCCAGGUGUAGCGGUGAAAUGCGUAGAUAUCUGGAGGAAUACCGGUGGCGAAGGCAGCUCGCUGGGACGGUACUGACGCUGAGACGCGAAAGCGUGGGGAGCAAACAGG